UACAGAGGGGGCAAGCGUUAUUCGGAAUCAUUGGGCGUAAAGGGCGCGUAGGCGGCUUGGCAAGUGGAUGGUGAAAUCCCUCGGCUUAACCGAGGAACUGCCGUCCAAACUGCUUCGCUUGAGACCGGGAGAGGUGAGUGGAAUUCCCAGUGUAGCGGUGAAAUGCGUAGAUAUUGGGAGGAACACCAGUGGCGAAGGCGGCUCACUGGACCGGUACUGACGCUGAUGCGCGAAAGCGUGGGGAGCAAACGGG
rnacentral:rRNA from 1 species